AUACGGAGGGUGCAAGCGUUGUUCGGAUUUAUUGGGCGUAAAGCGAGUGUAGGCGGUUUGACAAGUCGAAUGUGAAAUCCCGAGGCCCAACCUCGGAACUGCAUCCGAAACUGUCAGGCUAGAGUCCCGGAGAGGAUGGCGGAAUUCCCGGUGUAGGGGUGAAAUCCGUAGAUAUCGGGAGGAACACCAGUGGUGAAGGCGGCCAUCUGGACGGUGACUGACGCUGAGACUCGAAAGUGUGGGUAGCAAACAGGAUUAGAAACCCUAGUAGUCC
rnacentral:rRNA from 1 species